rnacentral:rRNA from 1 species
UACAGAGGGGGCCAGCGUUAUUCGGAAUUAUUGGGCGUAAAGGGUGCGUAGGCGGCGCGGUAAGUCGGGUGUGAAAUCUCGGAGCUUAACUCCGAAACUGCAUUCGAUACUGCCGUGCUUGAGGACUGGAGAGGAGACUGGAAUUUACGGUGUAGCGGUGAAAUGCGUAGAUAUCGUAAGGAAGACCAGUGGCGAAGGCGGGUCUCUGGACAGUUCCUGACGCUGAGGCACGAAGGCCAGGGGAGCAAACGGG